rnacentral:tRNA from 6 species
GCCGCUCUAGCUCAGUUGGUAGAGCAACUCAUUCGUAAUGAGUAGGUCGUCGGUUCGACUCCGAUGAGCGGCUCCA